UCGCCACCCGACACGGUUCGUGGCUGCUCAUGUCGGGGACAGACCCAGGUAGAGACGCGUAGGGGCCCGGUACUCCAUCCCCAACCUCUCUCCCCGGCCAUCUCUUCCGGUCGCGGCAACUGCUCCCCGGCCAUCCCAACCUCUCUCCUCUCCUCGUGUUGUAGGUGCUGGGAAAAGAUCCUUGAUUUCCCCCAGCCACCACUCCAUCCCCCAACCUCUCUCCUCUCCUUGUUGCAGUGCCACCAGGUAGCUACACGGUGCCGCCGGGAGUCCUGUCCCUGGAGGCGUCUCCACCGUGCCGUUGAUCAAGCAGCAUGGUCUGCGGCGUGCAGGCAAUGGCCGCUGUGGUCUGCGGUCUCCAUAUAUCCAUCUUCUUCCUCCGGUAUCGAAGGGUGAGAAGGAGGGCCGAGGGUGGAAGAGAUCCCGCGACGUUUGACGCCGGGAAGCACAUGUAGGCGGCUUGAGUGAGAAGGGACUAGGAGGCGGUCAACAUCGGGAAGAGAAGCAGCGGCCGGAGGUAGGAAGGGAGUUGACCAUCUAGAGCCUAUUUGUUCUUCUCAUUUAUUUUCUGAUCCGAUUUGGUUUGUUUUACGAACUAGAUUUGCUUCCACUUUUGCUCGUGUUCCUGGUACUUUGGUCAUAUAUAUCUGGAGGGAAUAUGUUGUUGACGAUGUGUUUCCGUUCAACCCAGAUCCAAUUUGUUCAUUAGCUGUUCUUCAUCUUUCAUCUUCAUGCCAUGCAUCAUAGGCACACCAAUUUUUUCUUCCAUUUACUGUAGAAAAAUACUAUGUUUUUUCUUCAUUGUAGCAUGUGUUCGCAGUGGCAUGUACAAGUCUGACCAUAUUUUCCUCUGGAAUUUCUGAUGCGGCACAUUUUGUUUGACGUAGUCCUGUGCACUUGACAAAUUAGAAUGUGGUGUCUCAUGUGUUCCAGAUUCAUUAAUUUUGGAUCCAAGUGUGCAGUAUUCCAUCCCUCUUAUCUUCUCUCUUUCACCAAGGAUUUGUAGCAUAUGGUUUUUGUGUCAGAUUAUUUCCGUGACUUGAGUUCCGAAUUGUUUCCGGGUUAAUGGUAUAAUUCUUACAUAGUAUUUGUUUCCAAGUUAAUUGAUUAGCUCAUAAAACAAAGAUGCAAAAGCCUUCAAUAUAUAAUAUAAAAUUGGGCAGCGGUAUCUAGCAAUCUAUUCUGUCAAUGCAAACAAUUUGUAUCAGUGCAAAGAACACUAGCAAUCUAUUCUAUCCAUGCAAAGAACACUAGCAAUCUAUUCUGUCAAUGCAAAGAACACUAGCAAUCAGUUUUCCAUUUUCUCUUGCAAACAAAUGCUUGCUAGCUCAACUUGCUACCCUGGUUCCACUAAGAAAAAAAGUAAGUAGGCAAAAAAACAGUAGGAAUCUCUUCUGUAAUUGCUAAUUUUCUAAGUCUAGCAACCAUCCAAAAAAAUAAGAUGAUGGGAUGCAUCUCUUCUGUCUAUGCUAAUUUUUUGACUUUAGAUCGGACAUGGGGAUUCAGGUUACGAAACAGACAGCCUUGGAUACCGUGGCCACGGCGUUGAAGAACCUAUUGACGGGGAGGAGAUACUUGACGAGGUUGUUGCCGGCCAUGCCGUCGAGGAGGAGCAUGUCGCGGAGAAGCGGAGAACUGGUAUUCUUCAGAAGAAACCACGCAGGUAGAACAAAUGUAGCGCCUGUGGAGGCACCGGCCAUAACUCUGCGACAUGUACUGCUGGAGUGGAAGUAGCAGAUGCUUUGUGCAAGGACUCCAACUAUAUCUUAGCUAUUUUCUUGACAUUAUCUGUUGUUUUUUUUAGAUGAACUCUGCAAUACCGUAUCUUGGCUACUGUAAGGGAUUUCUAAUGUAAUUUUGUUGACCUGUUCUAUUGCAUUUCCAGUUCAGCUCUGCAA